GGUCGGUUAGCUCAGUUGGUUAGAGCGUGGUACUAAUAAUGCCAAGGUCAUGGGUUCGACCCCCAUACGGACCA
rnacentral:tRNA from 1 species